CGGGGCAUAGCGCAGCCUGGUAGCGCACUUGCAUGGGGUGCAAGGGGUCGCAGGUUCAAAUCCUGCUGUCCCGA
rfam:Gammaproteobacteria bacterium RIFCSPHIGHO2_12_FTLL_40_19 rifcsphigho2_12_scaffold_2623, whole genome shotgun sequence.